rnacentral:pre_miRNA from 1 species
UGGUGAACUGAGGCUCCCCGACUGUCACUCUGUCCCAGGCCCGUCCUGGCCGUGGGCACAGGCUGAGUCACAGUAGCCUGUGGGGUCCUGACCC